GGCGGCAGGCCUAACACAUGCAAGUCGAACGGUAACAGGAAGCAGCUUGCUGCUUUGCUGACGAGUGGCGGACGGGUGAGUAAUGUCUGGGAAACUGCCUGAUGGAGGGGGAUAACUACUGGAAACGGUGGCUAAUACCGCAUAACGUCGCAAGACCAAAGAGGGGGACCUUCGGGCCUCUUGCCAUCAGAUGUGCCCAGAUGGGAUUAGCUUGUUGGUGAGGUAACGGCUCACCAAGGCGACGAUCCCUAGCUGGUCUGAGAGGAUGACCAGCCACACUGGAACUGAGACACGGUCCAGACUCCUACGGGAGGCAGCAGUGGGGAAUAUUGCACAAUGGGCGCAAGCCUGAUGCAGCCAUGCCGCGUGUAUGAAGAAGGCCUUCGGGUUGUAAAGUACUUUCAGCGGGGAGGAAGGUGUUGUGGUUAAUAACCGCAGCAAUUGACGUUACCCGCAGAAGAAGCACCGGCUAACUCCGUGCCAGCAGCCGCGGUAAUACGGAGGGUGCAAGCGUUAAUCGGAAUUACUGGGCGUAAAGCGCACGCAGGCGGUCUGUCAAGUCGGAUGUGAAAUCCCCGGGCUCAACCUGGGAACUGCAUUCGAAACUGGCAGGCUUGAGUCUUGUAGAGGGGGGUAGAAUUCCAGGUGUAGCGGUGAAAUGCGUAGAGAUCUGGAGGAAUACCGGUGGCGAAGGCGGCCCCCUGGACAAAGACUGACGCUCAGGUGCGAAAGCGUGGGGAGCAAACAGGAUUAGAUACCCUGGUAGUCCACGCCGUAAACGAUGUCUACUUGGAGGUUGUGCCCUUGAGGCGUGGCUUCCGGAGCUAACGCGUUAAGUAGACCGCCUGGGGAGUACGGCCGCAAGGUUAAAACUCAAAUGAAUUGACGGGGGCCCGCACAAGCGGUGGAGCAUGUGGUUUAAUUCGAUGCAACGCGAAGAACCUUACCUGGUCUUGACAUCCACAGAACUUUCCAGAGAUGGAUUGGUGCCUUCGGGAACUGUGAGACAGGUGCUGCAUGGCUGUCGUCAGCUCGUGUUGUGAAAUGUUGGGUUAAGUCCCGCAACGAGCGCAACCCUUAUCCUUUGUUGCCAGCGGUCCGGCCGGGAACUCAAAGGAGACUGCCAGUGAUAAACUGGAGGAAGGUGGGGAUGACGUCAAGUCAUCAUGGCCCUUACGACCAGGGCUACACACGUGCUACAAUGGCGCAUACAAAGAGAAGCGACCUCGCGAGAGCAAGCGGACCUCAUAAAGUGCGUCGUAGUCCGGAUUGGAGUCUGCAACUCGACUCCAUGAAGUCGGAAUCGCUAGUAAUCGUGGAUCAGAAUGCCACGGUGAAUACGUUCCCGGGCCUUGUACACACCGCCCGUCACACCAUGGGAGUGGGUUGCAAAAGAAGUAGGUAGCUUAACCUUCGGGGGGGCGCUUACCACUUUGUGAUUCAUGACUGGGGUGAAGUCGUAACAAGGUAACCGUAGGGGAACCUGCGGUUGGAUCACCUCCUUACCUUAAAGAAGC
rnacentral:rRNA from 1 species